rnacentral:rRNA from 1 species
GUGAGUAGUUCAGAGUUUGAUCCUGGCUCAGGAUGAACGCUGGCGGCGUGCUUAACACAUGCAAGUCGAACGAAGCACCUUGGAAUGCGUCUUCGGACAAAUGAAUUGGUGACUUAGUGGCGGACGGGUGAGUAACGCGUGGGUAACCUGCCUCACACAGGGGGAUAACAGUUAGAAAUGACUGCUAAAACCGCAUAACAUGGCGAGACCGCAUGACCUUGCCAUCAAAUAUUUAUAGGUGUGAGAUGGGCCCGCGUCUGAUUAGCUAGUUGGUGAGGUAAUGGCUCACCAAGGCAACGAUCAGUAGCCGGCUUGAGAGAGUGAACGGCCACAUUGGGACUGAGACACGGCCCAA